GUUACAGAACUAAUAUUUCUAUCGCCAAACAGCUGUUCACAAUUCAAUUAAUUAAUAAGAUAGGGUUCUAGAGUGGUAAUUAAACUUUCAACCUCUUCUUAAUUAAACAAUUGGACAAGGAAUACAUAAAAUCUAAUUAUUUGAGGGCUUGAGCAGUUUCUCCACAUUAAUCUGUUCCAAGUCUUGGAGAACCAGACUCUGGAGUAAUGGCUGUCUUAGAAUCUGAGACUAGAAUGCCGAACGACUUUCUGGCCUCUCCUGGGAAAUUACCAGAUCCUGUGACCAAACACCAAGGAAUAUCUCCCAUUGUUCCUUUUUUGUGAAUGAAAACAAACAUUGUGGAUUAUGUCGCUGGAAGUGUUGAGUGACUGCUCGUUGGAUCAGGAAGAGCCAAGUCCCUAGUGACUACGUGAUUGACGAAGCUUCCAGCAUAACGAAAUUGUACUUAGCAGUUUUCCUGCCGUUUCGGCUUUUGAAGGAGCUGUGAUUUAGAACUAAAAAAUACAAUAUUAAAUGUAACUAAAGAACCUA